rnacentral:lncRNA from 1 species
UGGUAUGAUUGCCAAUGAGACAACUAUCCACAAAAGACCAAAAUGACACAGACAUUAACAACUACAGGUCACCGUACGGCCUUCAACAAUGAACAAAGCCGGUACCGCAUAGUCAGCUAUAAAAGGCCACGAUAAGACAAUGUAAAACAAUUCAAACGAGAAAACUAACGGCCUUAUUUUUGUGAAAAAAAAAAUGGACGAAAAACAAAUAUGUAACACAUAAACAAACGGCAAC